UUUCCGUAGGUGAACCUGCGGAAGGAUCAUUACUGAGUGAGAGCACUCUGGAUCCUACCUAACAUCCGUGUUCAUUGUACCUGCUUGCUUCGUUGGGCCAGCCUCACGGCCCCCGGGGGACACCUUCGCCGCUGCCCGCACCCGCCAAAGACACCAAACAACUCUGUAUCAAGUUUCACGCCUAAUAAAAUAUUCAAUAAGUCAAAACUUUCAACAACGGAUCUCUUGGUUCCG
rnacentral:misc_RNA from 1 species